ensembl:lncRNA
UUACAGCAGUCCCUGUUCUUCCGGGUGAGAUAUACAGGAGGGAAAAUCUCAGAGGCUCUUACGGGGCCAGCAGUAGCGGCCCGUCUGAGAGAGAAGCACAGGCAAAGGCUGCUUCUAAACAAGGAAUCUUUAACAGGCUUUCAGAAGUAAGAGGGCCACAGAGGCCCCACUGAUCCCCCCUCGUAGUCCUCAAGAUGAAGUCUAGUCCAGAGUGAGCAAGUUCAAUCAAGAGCCACCUCGGAGGCGAAUGUGCCUCUCUGAGUCUCUCCAAGAGCCAAGACAUGCAUUAGUGGGAUUAAUGGCAGCUACUGUUCUUCAAGAGUGGAGAGAAACACAUUUCUUUCAUGAUAUAACCAGAAUUCUAUCAGGGUCUCAGCCUCUGUAAACAUGAGAACAGUCUUCAAGUCUGAAGAGUUGGAAGAUGUGCAUCAGACCAGCAAGAAAACUGGAAAGUGGGGAAUAGACAUUCAUGCCAUCUUCUGAAACUUUUUAGCUCCAGGCUAGGUUUUUUACCAAACUUGUAUUAAUUAGUGAAAGACAUAAUACUCCUCAAUCUGCUCUAUUACUCCAGAAAUAGCCCUCUAGUCUUGUGAGCUAACACACAUCUUGACACUUACUGCUUGUUAAGUGUUUUGGAGCGUCUUCACUGGAAGCACUACCAAAACAAUCCCAACUGUUGUGUCCAAGUUCCUACAACACUGAGCAGAGAGCAUGCAAUGAAGUUGAUUACAAACGGAUAGCACCUUGGAAGAAAAACUCUCUAAAAUAUAACCUGAAGCAGAGAGGGACUCUGAAGCCCAGCACUGCUUUUAGCUACAAAUGGACAGUAUGCAAAAAUCUAUAUUCUGCACAGAAUAAGAGCUAGCACCUAAUAUAUCCCAGAAAAAGUUCACCUUCUGCUGCCUGCAGCUUGACCCGUGAGAGGAGCACCUAUGCACUGAUCCACAUAAAGGCACAGGAAGUGCUAAAGAGAAACUCACAUAACCACGUGUAGCACCUGU